rnacentral:rRNA from 1 species
GAUGAACGCUGGCGGCGUGCCUAAUACAUGCAAGUCGAGCGAACAGACGAGGAGCUUGCUCCUCUGACGUUAGCGGCGGACGGGUGAGUAACACGUGGAUAACCUACCUAUAAGACUGGGAUAACUUCGGGAAACCGGAGCUAAUACCGGAUAAUAUAUUGAACCGCAUGGUUCAAUAGUGAAAGACGGUUUUGCUGUCACUUAUAGAUGGAUCCGCGCCGCAUUAGCUAGUUGGUAAGGUAACGGCUUACCAAGGCGACGAUGCGUAGCCGACCUGAGAGGGUGAUCGGCCACACUGGAACUGAGACACGGUCCAGACUCCUACGGGAGGCAGCAGUAGGGAAUCUUCCGCAAUGGGCGAAAGCCUGACGGAGCAAAGCCGCGUGAGUGAUGAAGGUCUUCGGAUCGUAAAACUCUGUUAUUAGGGAAGAAAAAAUGUGUAAGUAACUAUGCACGUCUUGACGGUACCUAAUCGGAAAGCCACGGCUAACUACGUG